rnacentral:lncRNA from 1 species
UAAGUUGUGUAGAAUACAUACUAAUUUCAAUUGAUAAAUAUUACGCUACUUAAAAUUCUACUUUCCUUUAUUUUAAUUAUGAUUAAUGCUAUUUAUUCAACAAAUUCGAUUGAUUGAUGCGAAUUGAUUUUCUGUUACGAGCAAUUGAGGAAACAAUAGCCAGUCCGAAAGCUGCUUCGGCGGCUGCAAUAGCUAUAACAAAAAUUGA